UACGGAGGGUGCAAGCGUUGUCCGGAUUUAUUGGGUUUAAAGGGUGCGUAGGCGGCCUAGUAAGUCGGCGGUGAAAGCCCGGGGCUCAACCCCGGAACUGCCAUCGAUACUGUUAGGCUUGAGUACAGGCGAGGUUGGCGGAAUGGGCGGUGUAGCGGUGAAAUGCAUAGAUACCGUCCAGAACCCCGAUUGCGAAGGCAGCUGACUAGGCUGUAACUGACGCUGAGGCACGAAAGCGUGGGGAGCGAACAGG
rnacentral:rRNA from 3 species